GCCACCCACAUUCUCUCCCCAUAUUGCUCGUGAAUGGAGCAAGUUGGGAGGUGGUAGGUGUAGCUGCGGUGAAGCCCAGACUGAGGUCAUGGUGGAUCCGGGCUGACCCUACCCUCAUCUUUAAGAACACCUCCUGGGCAUUCGUCCAGCCAGCCGACCGUUUUUGGGAGCUAAGAGAAAGAGCCUGGCAGCGUGUGGAGUCCUAGUGUGUAGACUUUGUCAUCAGACACCCCACGUUCACCUUCUGAUGCCACCACUCCUAGCUGU
rnacentral:lncRNA from 1 species